rnacentral:rRNA from 1 species
CUAAACUGAGGAAAGUCGGCCGAAACUGAUCGACUCGAGGAACGUAGAGGGAAGCGGAACUCUCGGAGUAGCGGUGAAAUGCGUAGAGACCGAGAGGUACCCCGAUGGUGAAGACAGCUUCCUGGGCGUUUCCUGACGCUGAAGCACUAAGGCCAGGGGAGCGAAGGGGAUUAGAUACCCCCGUAGUCCUGGCUUCAAACGAUGUGGGCUUGGUGUCGGCCCCCGACAGAGGGUCGUUGCCGGAGCUAACGUGUUAAGCCCACCGCCUGGGGAUUACGUCCGCAAGGAUGAAACUCAAGGGAAUUGACGGGGGCCCACACAACCGGUGGAGCACGUGGUUUAAUUCGAUGAUAAGCGAAGAACCUUACCAGGGCUUGACCUAGCGGUAGUAGGAUCCUGAAAGGGAAACGACCUCAAGCUUUGCUUGAGGAGCC